rnacentral:rRNA from 1 species
UACGUAGGGGGCUAGCGUUGUCCGGAUUUAUUGGGCGUAAAGAGCGUGUAGGCGGCCAGAUAGGUCCGUUGUGAAAACUGGAGGCUUAACCUCCAGCUGUCGAUGGAAACCAUCUGGCUAGAGUCCGGAAGAGGAGAGUGGAAUUCCUGGUGUAGCGGUGAAAUGCGCAGAUAUCAGGAGGAACACCAAUGCGAAGGCAGCUCGCUGGGGACGGUACUGACGCUGAGGCGCGAAAAGCGUGGGGGAGCAAACAGG